rnacentral:rRNA from 1 species
AUGCGGGAGGGGAGAGCCAAUGGUGGGGUCGACGGAGAGAGAGGCGGCGCUGAUGCCGCCGCCGGUCUCGUGGGCGCGCUUCGGCGGCAGAGGCCGGGCCAGUCCCACCCGUCCUCGUCCGGCUCGGCCGCGUCGGCGGAAGGGGGAGCCAAGAAGCAGGGGAGGCGCAAGAGCAAGCGGCGGGAGCAGGUCGUGAGGGCGAUUCGGGACCGGCUGCCUCCCCCGCCCGCUUGCUGGGGCAACGUCUCGGUGGUCCAGGAGAGGAGGGGCCGGAGGGAGAGGCCUGACGAUCACGGCCGCGGCGACGCCGUCCGCGGCGAGGAGGAGGGGCGCUCUGGCGCGGGAACCGCCGCGUUGCCGGCGUGGUGCUGCCUGUGCCCCGAAGGGGACUGCUCGCUGGAGCCCAACCCGAGCGCCAACGGCAAGGAGGACCCCGGCCUCCGCUCCCUCAUCGAGCGCAACGACUUCUACUCCGACGACUGCAACCCGCACGCCGCCGCCGCCGCCGCCGCCGCCGAAGAGGACGACGACGACGACGCAAGCCCCGCCGCCGAUUUUGAUUAG